rnacentral:rRNA from 1 species
GACGAACGCUGGCGGCGUGCUUAACACAUGCAAGUCGAACGGAAAGGCCCUGCUUUUGUGGGGUGCUCGAGUGGCGAACGGGUGAGUAACACGUGAGUAACCUGCCCUUGACUUUGGGAUAACUUCAGGAAACUGGGGCUAAUACCGGAUAGGAGCUCCUGCUGCAUGGUGGGGGUUGGAAAGUUUCGGCGGUUGGGGAUGGACUCGCGGCUUAUCAGCGUGUUGGUGGGGUAGUGGCUUACCAAGGCUUUGACGGGUAGCCGGCCUGAGAGGGUGACCGGGGAAGCUGGGACUCAGAUACCGCCGAGACUCCGACGGGGGGCCUGCGACGCGUAGGGCGCAGAGUCGGCGUACGCGUUGUACAGCGACCUCGCGUGCGGGGAGGCGUCCUGCGGGUUAUAGGACGAUUUAGCCUCGGAUAACUCGUUACCAGCGGUGCUGUGUAUAGACCCAACCGCUAACCACGUC